rnacentral:rRNA from 1 species
UUGGCCGGCGCCGCGAAGCGAAGAAGUGUUUGCACCGGUAGAACAAGAGAAAAGAAAUUG